UUAGAGAAUGGAUCGGAUCAGCCCGGAGGGAAAGGAUUUGGGGGUGUUGGUGGGAGAGAAUCCCAGCCUGAGAGAGAUGAGCCGCGAGCGCGAUGAUGGCAUGGGUGACGUCAUCGGGAAAGCAGCCCCGCCGCCCGCCGAGGGGAGCUACAAAAAGGUAAAUAGAGGCACAAUUAAAAAAAAAAAAAAAAAAAAAAAAAGAAAGAAAAAGUAAAAUGGCCAAAUCAGCUGUUUACAAGUUUUCCUAAAAUAUCAAAAAAAAAAAAAAAAAAAAAGGACAGAAAGGAGCCGUUGUGCGCCGGCGGGCGGGAAUGCUGCCCGGAUCCCGCCCGGAGCUGCAGAUGGGAGAAUUCCCGGGUUUUAAAGUGGCAAAGCUUCCUCCCUGCUGGUUAUCUCCGGGUGAUAAAAUAGCAGCAGGCGUUUCCAAAGGCGUUCUCCCACCUGGAGUUUUAAGGCGUUUUGUGACGUGGCUGAAAAAGUUUGACUCGGGUUUGGGUUUUCCCCGGGAAGAAAAGAGGAGGUAAAAGCACGUUUUCUGUGGUUCUGUGCUGUUUGUACAUCCCAGAAUAGCCCUGGGGCUGUGCAGAGAUAAAAUGAGACGUGGCUCUGGGACUGUAAAUAUAGUCCUGCUCUGGGGCUGGGAGUGACAGCCCGGCAAAAAUAACCCUGCUGGCCUGGGCCAGUGUCCCAGGGCUCCUGCUGCCUGUCCCAGUGUGUCCCAAUGUGUCCCAGCAUGUCCCAGUGUGUCCCAGCAUGUCCCAGUGUGUCCCAGUCCCCCCCCCCCCCCCCCCCCCCCCCCCCCCCCCCCCCCCCCCCCCCCCCCCCCCCCCCCCCCCCCCCCCCCCCCCCCCCCCCCCCCCCGGCCUGGGCAAGUGUCCCAGGGCUCCUGCUGCCUGUCCCAGUGUGUCCCAGUGGGUCCCAGUGUGUCCCAGUGCUCCUGCUGCCUGUCCCAGUGUGUCCCAGUGUGUCCCAGGGCUCCUGCUGCCUGUCCCAGUGUGUCCCAAUGUGUCCCAGCAUGUCCCAGUGUGUCCCAGCAUGUCCCAGUGUGUCCCAGUGCUCCUGCUGGCUGUCCCAGUAUGUCCCAGUGUAUCCCAGUGUGUCCCAGUGUGUCCCCGUGUGUCCCAGUGCUCCUGCUGGCUCUCCCAGUGUAUCCCUUCCAGAGACCUUCCAGGACCUAAAGGGGCUCCAGGAGAGCUGGGGAGGGUCUGGGGACAGGGGGUGGAGGGACAGGACACAGGGAAUGAACUCCCACUGCCAGAGGGCAGGGCUGGGUGGGAUUUUGGGAAUUCCUGGCUGGGCUGGAAUUCCCAGAGAAGCUGGGGAUCCCUGGAAGUGUCCCAGGCCAGCUUGGAUGGGGCUGGGAGCCCCCCCCCCCCCCCCCCCCCCCCCCCCCCCCCC
rnacentral:lncRNA from 12 species